rnacentral:sRNA from 1 species
AAGAUGGCAGUUAUUACGAAGGGGCGUUUGUGGACGGAGAGAUCAUGGGAGAAGGCCGCCGGCACUGGGCCGGGUCAGGAGACACCUUCUCUGGACAGUUUGUUCUGGGAGAGCCUCAAGGCUACGGCGUCAUGGAGUACAAAGCCGGCGGAUGUUACGAAGGGGAGGUCUCCCACGGCAUGCGGGAAGGUCUGGCGCCCACAGGAGCCGGGUGCUGUGAGGGUGGGCGCUUUCAGGACAUGGAAUCCUACGUCCACUCAGGUUCAGGAACCUCCGAGAGGGCCUGCCUGACUUCAGAGGGUGGGAAAGGAGGUAGGGGGCCCAUGCCCUCUUCUCCACACCCCCAGGCCAUGUCCUAUGCCCGGCAUACACCAGUAUGCCCAGCGGGUCCUGUGGCGCUUGAUGCAGCUCUGUCAUCCGCUACCGCGGAACAGACGCCCGUGGCUUAGGGGUUAAAAUGGCCACUGCUUUAUUGACUGCUCCUGAUCCUGGGGUCAGUAGGUUGGCCUGGGCCCUGCAGGGAGGGGCUUCUGGUCUGGACUAUGUGGGGUC